rnacentral:rRNA from 1 species
AGCCAAUAGAUACCCUGGUAGUCCACGCCCUAAACGAUGUCUACUAGUUGUUGGUGGAGUAAAAUCCAUGAGUAAACGCAAGCUAACGCGUGAAGUAGACCGGCCUGGGGAGUACGGUCGCAAGAUUAAAACUCAAGGGAAUUGACGGGGGCCCGCACAAGCGGUGGAUUAUGUGGAUUAAUUCGAUGCAACGCGAAAAACCUUACCUGGCCUUGACAUGCCACUAACGAAGCAGAGAUGGCAUUAGGUGCCCGUAAGGGAAAGUGGACACAGGUGCUGCAUGGCUGUCGUCAGCUCGUGUCGUGAGAUGUUGGG